UAUAGCUCAGUCAGUAGAGCAUGAGACUCUUAAUCUCAGGGUCAUCCAUGGGUUCAAGCCUCACACUGGGCAAAA